rnacentral:lncRNA from 1 species
UCUGAAGCCAGCCUGAACAUUUCCUGCUUUAAUUUAAUGUGUCAUCUGUGUCAGAAUGGCUGAAACCUUCUUCAAUGUUGGACUUCAGUGACAAUCAAAAUUUGACUCAGAGUGGGCGAGUAUCAGACAAAUAUUUGUCUUUGCGAAGAUUCAGAGCAACAAAAACACAUCGCAUGUCUACUCCGUCCCGGGCACUCCAUGCUGUGUGGACACUGAGGACAAGCUUGAAGCCUUGGAAGUCCCAUGGAAGGAGGUUGAAUUCAUAAAAUCACAGAAAAUGUUUAGACAGAGAGGUUCCACAGCGGGAGUUUCAAGAGAGCCCACGGUACGCGGCCCAGAGGAGGCUGCCCACCCGGGUGCCACAGCGAGGCGUAGAAGAACGGAGAACACCUGGGGAGACAGAGGAGUGGCAUCCAACCUUGCAGGUGUUUCUAAGGCAAGAUGCCCCGUAUGCUUUUCUAAGGCACAGCAUCUAUUCUUAUAGAAGUGUGGUGGAAAAUGAGAAUUCCCAUGUAAAAAUUCCACACCUUGGGGGCUGGGGAUUUAGCUCAGCGGCAAAGCGCCUACCUGGCAAGCGCAAGGUCGUGAGUUCGGUUCCCAGUACCGGAGAAAAACAAAAAAUAAAUAAAUAAAUAAAAAUUCCACACCU